rnacentral:lncRNA from 1 species
GAACAUAACUAAAAAAGAUGCAGAACACAACUAUGGGUAUGAUAGCAUCAUGAUACUAAAACUGAGCAUACAAUCAUUAUAUUUUCUACACCAAUUACCUAUAUCAACAAAAUCACGCCAUUUCAAAUUUGUGAAAAUAAGCUACAAUACCUGAACAUCAAUUUCCUCCAUAAAUACAUCCUUUGGUGUAUCACACAAUGUUUGACCUGCAACUGGAUGCAGAAGAAAGCUCACAAAUUCCAUGAAAUAUUGUAGGGGCUGAGUGAAACAUGGGGAGAAACAAAGUUGUAUAUAUGAAGGUGAUUUGUCUAAUUACCUUGGAGGAAGGGAUUUAACAUCAACGUCAUAGC